rnacentral:lncRNA from 1 species
CUGUAAUAAUGACUGUAUAUAACUACACCUUUUGUGACAGUGUACAGUACAACAAUUUUGGCAUGUUUAUUUGAAAUGUGUCACUCUGCAGUUAGAUGGCCAUCAGGUAAAGACAUGGACAAUUGUCAUGAUUCUGCUGGCAGUUGCUUUCUUUUCUGGAAUUCUUGUUUUCUUGCUGUACAGGCACAACAAACUCCCCUGCACCAGACCAAGCUUGGCAUCAUACCGCUACUCACAGCUUAGUGAUGGAGACAAUUUGGAUAAGAUGAUUGACUUGGAAUCUCAUCCAACAUAUCAUGACUCCUCCGAUGAGGAAAUCUUAGAGUAAACGAGGACAGUAGAAGGCAGAGCUUGAAGAUAAAGUAAGAGGUAAUACACUCACAAGUCUUCCUUUAAUUACAUUGGAGAAGAAGUAUGGAUACCAGGCAAACUAAAGUAUAUAUGUUUGAUGUGUUAAGUUGCAUUUUGAGCUACUCUUUCAUUUUUAAAGAUCGCUUUAAUGAGAGUAACACUGUAGCCCAUUAGUCCCUGUUCUGCCCCAAAGUGCCCUACCUGUAUUUCUUCUACCACCCAAAAUCGCCCCAGCACUCAAUGGUUUUCAUCAAGGAGUAAAUAACAGUGUAGUACAAGUGUUAAAGGGAAUAUACAUCAUUUGCUUUUGCUGUAAUUUUCAGAAAUGGAUGGAAUUGGGGGGUUGGAAAUAUAUAGCAAAUAUAGUUACACUGACUUUUU